AACGAACGCUGGCGGCAGGCUUAACACAUGCAAGUCGAACGCUGUAGCAAUACAGAGUGGCGCACGGGUGAGUAAUACUUGGGAAUAUGCCUUUUAGUUGGGAAUAACCACUGGAAACGGUGGCUAAUACCCGAUACGCCCUCCGGGGGAAAGAUUUAUCGCUAAAAGAUUAGCCCAAGCCAGAUUAUGGUAGUUGGUGAGGUAAUGGCUCACCAAGCCUACGAUCUGUAGCUGGUCUGAGAGGAUGAUCAGCCACACUGGGACUGAGAUACGGCCCAGACUCCUACGGGAGGCAGCAGUGGGGAAUAUUGGACAAUGGGGGCAACCCUGAUCCAGCAAUGCCGCGUGAGUGAUGAAGGCCUAGGGUUGUAAGCUCUUUUUGCCAGGGAAGAUGAUGACUGUACCUGGAGAAUAAGCCCCGGCUAACUUCGUGCCAGCAGCCGCGGUAAU
rnacentral:rRNA from 1 species